rnacentral:rRNA from 1 species
GCCUACGGCCACACCACCCUGAAUACGCCGGAUCUCGUCUGAUCUCGGAAGCUAAGCAGGUUCGGGCCCAGUUACCAGGUUAGUACUUGGAUGGGAGACCGCCUGGGAACACCAGGUGUUGUCGGCU